rnacentral:rRNA from 1 species
CGGGUAACGGGGAAUUAGGGUUCGAUUCCGGAGAGGGAGCCUGAGAAACGGCUACCACAUCCAAGGAAGGCAGCAGGCGCGCAAAUUACCCAAUCCCGACACGGGGAGGUAGUGACAAUAAAUAACAAUAUGGGGCUCUUACGAGUCUCGUAAUUGGAAUGAGUACAAUUUAAAUCUCUUAACGAGGAACAAUUGGAGGGCAAGUCUGGUGCCAGCAGCCGCGGUAAUUCCAGCUCCAAUAGCGUAUAUUAAAGUUGUUGCAGUUAAAAAGCUCGUAGUUGAAUUUCGGAAUCUGUCCGUCGGUCGGGCUUCACUGUCCGUACUGGUGUGAUGGGUUUCUACCUUCUGAAUAACCGGCAUGUCAUUAAUUUGGUGCGUCGGGGAAGCAGAACUAUUACCUUGAAAAAAUUAGAGUGCUUAAAGCAGGCUAUCGCCUGAAUAGAUUAGCAUGGAAUAAUAAAAUAGGACGGCAUGGUUCUAUUUUGUUGGUUUCUAGGAUCACCGUAAUGAUUAAUAGGGAUAGUUGGGGGCAUUAGUAUUCAAUUGUCAGAGGUGAAAUUCUUGGAUUUAUUGAAGACUAACUUCUGCGAAAGCAUUUGCCAAGGAUGUUUUCAUUAAUCAAGAACGAAAGUUAGGGGAUCGAAGACGAUCAGAUACCGUCGUAGUCUUAACCAUAAACUAUGCCGACUAGGGAUCGGACGAUGUUAAUUUUUUAAUGACUCGUUCGGCGCCUUACGG